rnacentral:lncRNA from 1 species
CGCGCGCCCCACUAGCGCUCUGCGCGCGCCGCAGGCUGUAGCCGGCCGGGGUCGCAGCACGCCUCCCCGCUCCGCCCCCUCGCGCGCCGCCCGGCGCCCCGCGCACGCGCGCCGCCCCCUGCUCCUUCAGCGAGGGUCUGCGGGGAGCGCGCGUCCAACGGUCAGCGCCCCUCAGUGCACAGUCCCAGCGGCCUCGCUGGGCCGGCGCCUCCCGACCAAGUCUCUACGGUCGCCCUCCCCUCGGGGUGGCCACGAGGGACUCCUCCUCCUCUUCCUCCUCCCCUCCCUCCCCCUCGGUCUCCGCCUCCUCCUUCUCCUCCUCCUUCACUGCCCCGACCUCCCGCCCCAGGUUCCACGCGCUCUGAUGCCCGCCCCGCUCACCCAGAGAAGCCCUGGGCCAGACGUCCACAACCCAAGGGGUUAUGGGGAGGCCUCUGCUCCCUGGACACAGUAGUUCUCAAACUGGACAGUGUCAAUCAGCAUCCUCCGGGAGGUCUGGGGUGGCCCCGGAAAUACAUGUGUCCCACCUAUCCCAGCAGGUAAUGAUGAAACUCCUGCUCUGGUCCGGGCUACCGGUGAACAGCGCCCAGCGGGCCGGGCCCCCAACCUCGCUCCUGAGCCUGAACAUCCCCCCAACCCCACCGUGAGAAUUCAGCGAAGAGUAAAAGCUGGAAAAAGUUGCGUGUCUUAGGCUAAGCAGAACAAAGUGGGGUGACGGCUCCCCGGCUAGGAACAGAGAUGCCCUUAGGGAGCCCUCUGAUGGAAGAGCUCUCCGCUUAAGAAGGUCACCACUCCCUUACACUCAGGAGAUGUUGCUGAGAUGGGUGCAUUAAAGUUUAGGCUUUCCAGAGUUUAUAUUGCUAACAACUUGAAAGGAAAAAAGCUAACUAGAGAACUGACUGGUCUUAUUUGUUUUAGAUUCUGGGCUUUACUAAGACUUCCUACUCUCAGAAUCUCUGGACUAUAAACGCUGGGUGGGGUGGGAGCUGGGAAUGUUAUUCUGGAAAAUUAAUCACAAAUGAAAAGAAAAUCAACUCUAAGACUCCAGUUAGAAGAUUUUUGAAAAUGGCAGAACAUGACUGGCCUUCAUUCAAGUCAGAAUAUUUAAAGCAAUCCUUGCUAAGAAGAACUUGAUUUUGUAUAAGCAGUCCCUUAAAUACAGUUGCUUCUCAAGAAAACCACACA